rnacentral:rRNA from 1 species
GCUACCGUCAUUAUCUUGACCUAUAAAAGGAGUUUACGCACCGAAAUGUGUCAUCCUCCACGCGGNGUUGCUGCAUCAGGGUUUCCCCCAUUGUGCAAUAUUCCCC